CAAAGUGACUCGAAUAGUCGUGGCUGGGUUUGGCUGCCCUAUUGAUAGCGGUCCUAUUUUUUGCUCUACCGUGUUAGCAUGCAGAAGGCAGGGCUAAAUCCGAACCCGAGGGAAUGAGGUACUGAGGAAAAUGGAUGUUGGAGGAAUCUGCUGCUUUCUUGCAAAUCAGCAAGACCUGCACUGUAGCAAGGAUAUCCUGAAGCGAGGAACCGUGCAAUGUAAAGGAGAAUCUCUGUUUCAAAUGAUCUGGAAGGUGUAUUUCCAGUCUCUUCUGUUCACAGAUAGCCCUGGGAAUGUAAACUGAUGCAAACAGGAUCACCAGGAUUAGAAGCUGUUCACAGACUCCUAAAAAGGAACUGCUAUUCACAGUUCUCUUGCAAGCACUUAGAGAUGGCUUUGAGGGAUCGUGAAACAUUGCCGUAUGUCCCCUGCGUGUUGGGGGAAGACCCCAGAGUGAACUCUAAGGCGUAAGAGCAUUCAAAGCCCACACACUUAUGACUUUAUUGGAAAGUUUUAGGGGAGACCUUCCUCCAUCUUAUUGCCUAGUGCGUCAUUAAUGCUUUGUGACAGGUGAUUGACUGAGCAGGAACUGGCAUUUAAGUAAGGGGAGAGAUGGUUAUAGGAGAAUGUGAGAGAAGGCAUGCACAGAAAGACAGGGGAGGUGAAAACACCUGAACUAUAUUUAGGGAAGAGUGGAAGUGAUGGGUUUAGAAAUUGUGCUGGUAUGCUGUCUCCUUUCAGAGACACUACUGAGCAGCAUUAUUUCAGUCUUGCCUCACAGAAACAGAGUCCAGGGACACCAAUGGAAAUAAUGUGCUUUUGUCAUUAAUGUGUUCUAGGAAGCAACCAGGGAUGGCUAUGGGCACACUCACAUAUGUAUGUACACACACAUACACAGAGCUACCUUGUCCUUGUUAGGAGAGACUUCAGGCAGAGAUUGCUUAUCUUGCAGAAUAGAGGAAGCUGUUUUAACUCAUAAGCCAAGCCCUGUGCAGAGUUCUGUCUUUGCAGUGGCCAUCAUCGACCUUUGAGCUCAGCUGGAUAAACGCAGUGAAAAAAUAAGGGUCAUAGACAAUGUCCUGGCCUAUCCAGGUCAUAGCAUUUAUUCUUAAGGGAAUGCUAACUACAAAGAAAAAGCAUCCUGGUUUGGAUGACUGGGGAUGGAGCAAACCAGCUUGGAAGUCUUGUCAUGGUGCUUGGAUGCCUAUCAGAUGAUGUGAUUUUUACUGCAUGGAGUGGACCCAAUGCAUUCAUUCACUGUUUCUGCACCUUUAAUUUGCUUGACCAGCCUCAUUAGCCUAGUUUCUACUAAUAAGUCUUUGUCAUGAAUUAAACAGAGACCUACUGCCAUGGAUUGAUAAUCUAAAAACAAGCAGCUAGAAUUGGAAAGAAACCUGUUUUCGAGCAGAUGUGUUGACUGGUGGACAAAAAUGGUUAAGACGAGCCUUGACCUUCCAGAGAGCAUGUGCCAAAGGAAAAUGCAGCAGAAAGGUUUUUUGCCUAACAUGAAAGACUAUGCAGGGAUCUCCUCACAAAACUUCAAGAGGUAAUAGAGUUGCAUAAACCUCCAUAAUAAGAAAAUUAAAUGAAGGUGGGGUAUUCAUUCAGAAGGAAUAUGCAAGGAUAUUGGAGGAAACUGAAUGUCUUCUUUCGCUUGCAUUUCAAGAAGCAAAUGAAGAGACAGAAAGGAUCCUGUGACUCAAAACCAAUAGAACAUGCUCCAGACUCUUCUUUGAUGAACACGGCAGAAUUGCUUCAGACAGUUACCACCCUCUACAUUGCUGCAACUGACUCCAUACAGUAGAACCUCUGUCUACACAGCCUCUUGCAUAGGACACAAAAGACUACUCUGUUUUGGGAGGCCCAGAUGUAAAGAGCAGGAGGUAGGUCAAAUGGUGGCAGAUCACAGGUCUAGUUUUUGUGUUGCAUGAAUUAGCUUGACAUUAAGGUUAAGCUCUGGGAGCAAGCCAUUCUGUCUUGUGAAUUUCUUCACAGGUGAUGGGAUUUUGGCAAUGGUUGAAGCCAAUCUAGUGACAAGGCAAGCAGCUGAAACCUUAUAAUAUUUAUCUUGGCCAGAGAGAAAUUCCCCACUCAUUUGCUGGCUACCUUAUUUGUCCAUCUCCCAAGUAAAAGCAGCCUAGCAGACCUUUUCAGAUAGUGAGAAGCAGUAUUUUCUCAGGUAACACUACACUCAUUUUUAAAAGAGGGGAAAAAAAAAAAUCUCAAAAGCUCACAGCAAUACAAUUCUUUCCAUCCAAUGCAGAGAUGACAGUUCAGUCACUCCUUCCCUCUGCAGCACUGUCUGCAGCGCUCACCUUGGGAAGGUGGAGAGAGAAAUGGCAAAGGAUAAGGGGUCUUGUCCCUGAAAGGAGGGAGGGCUUAGGAGACAGAAAUGGUAACAGCGGCUAGAUGGUGAGGAGAGAAAACUGGUGUGAAUUGGGAAGCAUGACACACGGGGAGACUGCUGAGAACUGACAGGGAGCAGGGGACCGAGGACAGAUAGGCCAGUAGUCAUUGGGGUGGGGGAAGGCUGAUGUUUGUUCUGCAAGCAAGACUGAUAUGGAAGUUGUGGAAGAGAACUGAAUGUGCAGAAGGAGGCAGAAAGAUGUGAGGGCAGGAGGUAUGUGAAGUGCUUGUCAGUAAACUGAAGAGAAUGGCUGAAUAUUUGUUAUAAAGACAUGCUGAGUAUGGUGGAAUAAAAACUUCAAAAUUUGAAAGUUAGGUUGAAAUCCACUGUGUAAGACUUUAAAAGCUUAUAAAUAACAAAAAUCAGAUGCCUAGGAAAUAGAAUUACAGUGGGAUAAACACAAAGUGAUACUUUCCCAAAAUAUGCUUCUGAUCAGACUUCUGAGUCAGAGAUGACAACCUUGCAUUAGAAAAAAAAACCUCAGUAGUUUUCUCUUCUAUCAGUUUGGCUGGUCUCACCUUGAACCUAUCUGAAUUUUUAAAAUUCACAGCACCCUGCAGCAGAGAGCAUCAGAUCUUUGCUCCAGCUGUACCUGCCUCUCUUUCUGUGCACUACUGAGGAACAAGGACAGCAUCACAUCCCUGAAUGAGGGAUCAAGGCCACAUGAGCAAACAGAAUCCUCUCUCCAAAAAUGUCACCACACAGGAGCAUGCAGAUACCUGGGGCUUGGUCAAAAGACAAUGUCAGUCUUUCCAUUGACUCUGUCUUAGUUUCAGGUCUGGAUCCUAAAGCAGACAGAGUUAUUUGUUGAUGUCUUUAGUUAUGAUUUCUUUAAGAGCUUCCCAUCUGUUCAGGUUUGUACUCUAUUUCAUACACAUUUAAAUUUCUGCUGGAUGGAUGUGGUAGAGUGAUGGUUUUGGAAACAUUCUCAUUGUUUUUUAAUUUCUUAUGUGCUGUGUUUUUUACAGAGAUCAGCACAAAAAGGCAAAACACAACCAACUGUGACAGAAUAUAUAAAACAGCAUGAGCUGCCUACAGAUAAAUGAAAACAGUCCAAAAUAAUAGAGACCAAUGUGAAUCAUGACCAAUAAGCAUAUUUGUAAUAAUGUCAUCUAUGUCAGAUAAAAAAAUCACAAAUAUUUAUUAAGAAUACAGAUUAUUAAUAGAGAGACAUCUGAAAUUCAGAUCAUGUCUUUCAGUCCUAAUUGAUAUGAAUUAGCAGCCAAAUCUACUGAAAUAAACCUGACAUUCUCACAGAGGUCAUCAUCAUAUCUAGCAAUUUUUUUUAAAAAAAAAGGAAGGUACAAAGAAGGAGAGAGUAGAUAAGCAUUUUUUUCCUUGUACUAGUAUGACAUAGUUUAGAGAGAUCAGACUGCAUUAGUACUACUAAAGAUGAUAUAAGCAUGACGAUGAUGAGAAAAAACUGGAAGCAGGGUUGAGGGAGAGGCUUCCCCUGGUAGCUGCAGUUCUGACCCAAAUCCUGUAAGCUGCUCCAGGCAAGCAGGUACAUAAAGCCUCAUUUUGAAAUCAGUGGGUUCAAGCCAAGCACAAAAAUCUGUCUAGCUGGGGCAUCAGCCUGCAGUUAUCAUUUACCUCCUUUUGCCAGUCUUUCAGAUGUAGAAUAACACUUUGUUAAUAUGGCACGAGCUUUGAUGUAAUGAAAAAAAGUGACAGGGUAUUUAUUCUUCAACUCUGGUGGUUGCAGAAUUAAGCCAAUCAAUUUAAAAAGUCAUUUUAAAAAACAAGGUCAAUUUUCAGGAGGAGCUAAAUAAAAGCAGUUCUUUCUUAAUGCAAACCUGGCACUAGUGCAUCAUGCAGAUGAUGGAUGAACAGUCUGGAGCUCCUAGAAACAGGCUGAGGUUGUAGCAGCAGUGGGAAUUCUUCCAUCAUACAUUCUGUAUGUUUCACAGCAUAGAUUUCAGGACUUAAACAGGAUUAUACCAAACUGAAAAAAACAGACCUAUAAAAUACCGAAUGUGACUGAAACAAUAUUGGGUUUGGCAUUACUUUUUUGUAUUUCUUCCCUUCCAUGAAGGUAGUGGUGCAUAUGCAAGGUCAAGCUCCUGCUGCCUAUAUUCAAAGAGGAAAAGGAGGGACUCAUAAUGUGACAGUCUGCCUGUGCUGGCUGGGUCUCCAAAGAGAAAUAGUAGCAAAAAUACCUCAUCACUGCUAGUGCUGGUACAGAUAAACCCAGAGAGUUACCACAAUGGGUGCCCAAGUGGAGAUGUUCUGGCAACUGCCAGCAUUUUUACCACCCGACAUGCUAAUUAACCCUCUUCCUACUUGCUGGCACUUCCAGUGGUGUCACUGCUGCUUCAGCAGAACUGGUGGGUAGCCCUGACUGAAAUGUGUCCUGCUUAAUCAUCUAUGCUGUAGCCAGUAGACUGUUUUUUUCAGUGGGCUUCUGAAAAAUUAAAACCCUCUCUUACGGGUAAGAGUUGAGCUAUGUAGGUAAAGGCAAGGCUUCACUACAUGCUUUCAAAGUCAGAGAGUAAAACAAACUCCCAUUGACUUUAGCAGCAGCCAAGAUUUCACCCUGCAUAACAUCUACAUUACUCUUCUAGUGAUUCUGGGGUAGUGUUGAAUAUGAAGUACUCUGCAGUGAUAGAGACAAAGUAGAGUAUUGUGCCACAGUUUGCAUGACUACAGGGAAUAAAGCCCAAAAUAAAAUCUGGAGCUCUCAACUGUAAAUAUCUGUCAGCACAAUAAGCUGCCCCUACUCCCCACUGGAGCUAAUGCCAUCACUGCCAGGCCAGUCUGUAUUUUAAGGAAUAUUCUUGUAGCUGGUUUAUAUUUUCAUUUGCCUUCUGGUACGUCCUACUUACUCAUUUUGAGGUACCUCAAGAAAAUCCUUGUCUUCCUUUAUAUUUAUAUAUUUGGAUCCUUUCAGAUAUUCUUUCCCACCUGUGGCAGUUGUUUUGUGAAGGUCCUGAGUCCUUUGGCUCUUUUCCUUACAAGCCAGCUUCUUGCUCCUAAUGUUGACUUACCUGUCCUGGCCAACUCAGUGCUUAGCCUACUUCCCUGAAUGCCAGAAAGGUCAAAUCUCUGAGUCCCCCACACCGUACAUGGACACAUCCACAACUGCCCACUUUAAAGACAGGAGUACCUUUGUAUCAGGUUCCCACUUAAUUGUAUUUCUAAGACCUACAGAUAUAAUCUUUCUUUUCAUUUACAAGGCAGGAGGAUAUAUAUCUCCCACUUCAGCCUUUAAUUCCCCCCUCUGUGUACAGAUGCAAAAUAAAUUUGUGUUUCUAGAGAAAAGUCUUGUGAAUUUAACAUUACACCUUGAUAUACAGUUAUUACAAGGCAGUUAAUAUGGCAUAAUUUUAAGGACCACCAGGAAAUUUGGCCUGCAGCACAGAGGAAUUAUAAUAGGCUGCUAUGGUAAGAUUUGAAACGAAAUUAACUUCAUGUGAAUACUUAACAGCAAUAGAAUGCAUUUGAAAGAUUGAAAUGCAAGAGUAAUAACGUCACUGGAAAUGUUCAACAUGUAUUUCAAUGCUCAUUCAGAAAUAAAAUAUUUCAGGUAAGAAUUUCAAGGUUCACUAGACUUCCAGUUGAGUAGAAAUUGGAAAAACAUCUCUGAAGGUGACACUAGGCUCUUCUAUGAAUCUAGUCCUUUGCUUUUAUUGCAUAGACCUGGAAAAAAAUGGCAGAACUAAAGUUGUCACAAACAAACAAAUAGCAAUAAUUUACCCUAAGACUAUGGAGCUUUUGUCAUUUACCAAAUACACUGAACAUGGUGUUUUGGAGUCGACUUUAGAAAAAAGCAGAGUUUAAUAUUUUGGUUCAACAGCCGAAUCAAAUAAUCAAUUAUUCACACAACCCAAUCAUUUGAACACCCACCUAAAUCCCAAAAUAGGAGCUUGCCAUUGACAGCAAAGAGUUUGGAUGAACAACUCACAGGGGUGAGUUUCAUUCCCAGGGAAUAUUGAUUUCUGUUAUUUAGGUUUUAUUUUUGAAAAUAUGAAGCACUGUUUCUAUCUUGAAACUAACUCUGCAGGAACAAGCUUUUAUUAAAGGAAUUUUUUCAGUGCAAAUUUUUCUUUACACACAUAUUACUUGAUUUUCCGAAAUAUGUUUCUAGGAGGCAAUGUCAAAAGUACAAUUAAAUGGUGCAGGACUGAGUCCUAAUUGAUGGUGAUAAUAAUUAAAAUGAAUUAUUUCCUGAAAGCUACUUUUUUUUUUUUCCUUUCACCCUCAUUAUUCUGUUUGGAAA